UGACCUCGUGAUCCGCCCGUCUCGGCCUCCCAAAGUGCUGGGAUUACAGGCUUGAGCCACCGCACCCGUCUUUUUUUUUUCUUUUUUUCUUUUUUGAGAUGGAGUCUCACUCUGUCACCCAGGCUGGAGUGCAGUGGCAUGAUCUUGGCUCACUGCAAGCUCCAUCUCCCAGGUUCAUGCCAUUCUCCUGCAUCAGCCUCCUCCUGAGUAGCUGGGACUACAGGCUCGCCACCACGCCCCGCUAAUUUUUUUGUAGUUUUAG
rnacentral:lncRNA from 1 species